AAGUAUUUUUAAGAUAAAUAUGGACCUGAACAUCAAGAAAAAUAUGCAAGUACUUGUGUGAUUUACCCUCUUCCCUUUAAGGUGAUUUUUAGCAGUUGAUCAUGUGGCCCAGAAUGCGGUUGGUCUGCCUUGCUGAAUGCUCCAUAGGCUCUUGAAAAGAAUGAAUCAGAACUCCUUGGGAAAUGACCAGAUGACCCUAGAGCAUCUUUUGUGACCAAAAGUAAGAAGAGCUCAAAAAAUGAUGAGGACAUGGGAGUCAGGUUGAAUGAAAUGUCAGUGGUCAAACUUUUAAAAAAUAAAAUCAAAAGAGUGGAAAUAAUGAAUUCUAACUCAUUGAG